rnacentral:rRNA from 1 species
GACGAACGCUGGCGGCGUGCCUAAUACAUGCAAGUUGAGCGCUGAAGGUUGGUACUUGUACCAACUGGAUGAGCAGCGAACGGGUGAGUAACGCGUGGGGAAUCUGCCUUGUAGCGGGGGACAACAUUUGGAAACGAAUGCUAAUACCGCAUAAGAACUUUAAACACAAGCUUUAAGUUUGAAAGAUGCAAUUGCGUCACUCAAAGAUCAUCCCGCGUUGUAUUAGCUAGUUGGUGAGUUAAAGGCCCAAAAAGGCGAUGAUACAUAGCCGACCUGAAAGGGUGAGCGGCCAAAUCGGGAUGGGGACACGGCCCAAAAUCCUGCGGGAGGCAGCCGUAGGGAACCUCCGGCGAUGGAAGAAAGUCUGACCGAGCAACGCCGCGUGAGUGACGAAGGUUUUCGGAUCGUAAAACUGUGUUGGUAGAGAAGAACGUAGGUGAGAGUGGAAAGCUAAUAAAGUGACGGUAACUAACCAGAAAGGGACGGCUAACUACGUG